GCAAAUAGUCUCACAUUCUCUAAAAGAAAGAAAAAUAAAUAAAUACUUCUAGUGGGCAGUGGCGAUGUUUCCCAUUUUGAAGUUUGAACAAAAAUUUAAAAAACUCACCAGAACUCAUUUGCCCAAAACCUCAAUAACUCACGAAUCAUGAAAACCCUAGGGAGGCUAAACUCACCAACCAAGUUUAUGCCGCUGUUGUAUAUCACCACCGCCGCAACAUCACCGCCGGUGGAUCUAGGGAUGUUCCAUCAUCAACUCCUAAUUGUUCUUCUACACCAACAUUGGAAAAGUUUUUUGUAAAUGUUGAAGAUGAGAACCCUUAUGAACCAGAACAAGAUGAUGAACUUAUUGAAUCUGAAAAUCCCGUUGAAGUCGAUAUUUAAAUGCCAUAACUACUUAUAGGUCAAGAAAUGCAUAUUUAAAUGCUUGAAGGAAUGUGAAAUUGAGAAUAAAGUGUUCACGGUUUCCGUAGACAAUUAUUCGGCGAACGACACUUGCAUUCAAAUCAUGAAAGAUACCUUUUCACUUUCUAAAAGGUUAACGUGUGGUGGUAAAUUAUUUCACGUUCGUUGUUGUGCGCACAUUUUAAAUAUCAUGGUGCAACAUGGUUUGAAGCAAGUCAAAACCAUCAUAAAAAAUGUGCAUGAUACGGUGGAUUAUCUCAAUGGAAGUGAAGCUAGGAUGAGAAAGUUUGUUGAACUUGUGCAACAAUUCAAUCUUAAAGAGAGGAAACUCAUUCUUGAAUGCAAGACUCGGUGGAAUUCCACAUAUGAUAUGUUGGCUUCAGCAAUCAAGUUUAAGGAGGUUAUGUUGAUGACAAUCUUAUUUGGUUUUGGGCUCGGGUUGAGAUGUGAGUAUUAAAAUGUUAGAUGUUUUAGGCCUACUCUUUUAUUAAUUUAAGAGUUAGUUUUCUUUUUGGCUAUCAAUUUAAUUUAUUUAUACUAUUUAUUUAUGUUGGUUUUAUCACUUAGAUAUUUAAACGCAUUUCUUGUAGUAGUGACAUUCCCAGAAGACGAUGUUUCCGCCAUCGUCCUAUAAUACUAUUAUUAUAAUUUCUUUCUUUUUCGCUUUGAAAUUCUGGGGUGUUACAGAAGGGCUGCGCUUUUCUAGCGCAGCCCUACUUAAAAUGUGAAGGGCUGCUAUUGAAAGGACUGCUGUCAAAAAGCGCAGCCCUACAGGCCUUUUUCAGCGCAGCCCUUAUUCAUUUUUCCACUAGUGUUUGUACGAGUUGUAUGAUGAGUAUAAGACCUUGUAUUCUUCUCCAACGGAAGUAGUUGGAGAAUGUGAUUAUGGAACUUCAAAUAAUAAUGAAGGGAGCCUUCUCGGCAUGUCUAGGGUGUUACAAGCUGUGAAAAGUGGAAAAAAAACUCAAUGAUGAAGGAAUGUUUGAUAUAUUAAGAUGGUGGAAAGAAAAAUCGGUGAAGUAUCGUAUUUUAUCGAAAAUUGCUGCUGAUGUCUUGGCUAUUCCGAUUACUACUGUUGCAUCUGAGGCUACAUUUAGUGUAGGGAGUAGUGUUAUCGAUUCUUAUUGAGCUUCGUUGCUUCUAGAAAGUAUGCAAAUGCUAAUUUGCACGGGAGAUUGGACUAGGUCGACUUUUGGGAUUAAAAGAAAGAACAAAGAUGUGGAAGACGAUCAACCAAAAGAGAUCGUUAUUCCUAUUCCGUAAGUUGUUUUGGCACAAAAUUUAUGAAGAUUGUUGAACCCUAGUUUUGAUGAUGACAAAGAAACAAAGAUAUAAACUAAGUAGUGAACUAAUGAGUUAUUUAAGUGUAUGGUGUUUAAGGUAUCAAUGAAGGAACUGGGAGA